GUAUAAGAGACAGCAGCCGCCGCGGGAAUACGGAGGGUGCAAGCGUUAAUCGGAAUUACUGGGCGUAAAGCGCACGCAGGCGGCUUCUUAAGUCGGAUGUGAAAUCCCUGAGCUUAACUUAGGAAUUGCAUUUGAUACUGGGAAGCUAGAGUAUGGGAGAGGAUGGUAGAAUUCCAGGUGUAGCGGUGAAAUGCGUAGAGAUCUGGAGGAAUACCGAUGGCGAAGGCAGCCAUCUGGCCUAAUACUGACGCUGAGGUACGAAAGCAUGGGGAGCAAACAGGAUUAGAUACCCGCGUAGUCCCUGUCUCUUAUAC
rnacentral:rRNA from 1 species